UAUUGUACAAAGUAGCAAAAUUUUCUAAGCUGUGUGUUCGGGGAAGCAUCACAUUUCCAACACGAAUAUAUUGUACAAAGUAGCAACAUUUUGUAAGCUGUGUGUUCGGGUAAAUAUCAAAUAUGUUAAAGUUAGGUUUACCUGAAAAUCCACCUCGUCCUCUUGCUCUUCCUCUGUAGUGGAGUCGAAGUCAACCGGCAACCGACGAGAUACCUUUUGGCGUUUGGAUGGCGGGCGAUACAGACUAGUACUGGCUGAGGUUGACGUCGAAGGACCAGAUUCUUCCACGCUUUUCCCGUCAAAAUUAAUGCCAUUCGAGUCAGAAUCACAGCGCUGAGACAUUUUGGUUUUAAAAUAUAAGUAAAAUGUUGAAAGCUAAACUGAUGCUGUUGGAUGUUCUGCUCCUACAUGUAUCUCUGAUGUGGUUUUACCCGCAAUCAAAUUCCCGCGCAAGAAAAAGGGUUUGGCCGGAAAUUUGGAGAUGAAACAUUGGUAUGCAGGGCCCCCCAUCUGAAACCCCCAUCAUCUGAAAGCCAGCUAGGUUAAUGCCAUUUUAUCUGUGGAUUUAAAUUUUGCUGAGAUUUUCAUUAUGCCUACCUCACUUUAAAAGGAACAUGGGCAAACAUAUUGCUGAAAAUAGAAAGAAGUAUAGGCAAAAGAAGCGUGAAGAAAAACGACGUAAGAAGCAGAAGCUGAAAAAAAAUAUUACAUAUCACAAUAUAAUUGUUGCAAUGCCUCAUCCUGUCCGUACAAGUCAUCAUCUUCAUCAUCUUCAGGAUCUUCCCUGUCACCAUCAUUGACAUCUUCAAAUUCAUCAGACUCGUCAUCGAUAGUAACAAAAUCAAAGGCAACAGAAAACAGACCCCUGAUUACGUUUACGUCAGAUCCCCUGUAUGUAAGAUUUAUGGAGUACACCAUGUUAAAGAAAAGAGUAGCUGCUAUUGAGGACAGAGAAAGUCGCUAACGGGCUAUUGAAAUGAGCUGUAAAACAUAUGGGCUUUUGAUAUGUACAUGUAGGUGAUCCUCAUACCAGCUUGUCAUGGAGAGGUGUUAAUCCUCUAACCUGGCAGAUUUGGAGAGAUCACUACAUCAAAUACAAAUUACCGGAUCACCAGGACCAUCGCAGAUGAUUGUCACAUUGAACUUUCUUCAGUUAAUGAUGAUAUGAAUAUCUUAAUAAGAUUUUAUAUAUUUUGGUUACCCUAAAAAUGGUAUCUGCUCAAAAACGCCCUCGUAAAGUUUGUAACAAGUGUAAGUUGGAGCUUUCGGACAGACAUUAUCGUCGCCAUGUCACAAAUUGUACCUUUGUCAAUUUUCUAUCAAUUGACCAUGAGGAAAGUACAUUAAUUCAAAAUGAAAAAGUUCAACUACAAGUACAUUCCAGUGACAGUGAUACUAAUUUGAAUUUUCCAAGUGAAAAUAAUAGCAUUACCUAUGAAAAUUAUGUUUCUAAAAGAUCACAUCAUGAUCAGUUAAACAAUAUCUGUGACAAUAUAGAUGAUGAUGAUGCCAAAGCCUUUUUUUAUAUUAACUUAGAGAUGACUGAUGAAAGCUUUGAUAGUAGUGAAUACGACUCAAUUGUUUUAUCUUCCACUGACGAAGAAGAAAAUGAUGUUGUGUCUGUUGAUGAGUGUAGUAACUUUUUG